CCUACGGGGGGCUGCAGUAAGGAAUAUUGGACAAUGGACGGAAGUCUGAUCCAGCCAUGCCGCGUGCAGGAUGAAGGCGCUCAGCGUUGUAAACUGCUUUUGGAUGGGAAUAAUAACCUCGACGUGUUCGGGGCUUGAAGGUACCAUCAGAAUAAGCACCGGCUAACUCCGUGCCAGCAGCCGCGGUAAUACGGAGGGUGCAAGCGUUAUCCGGAAUCACUGGGUUUAAAGGGUGCGUAGGCGGCGCGAUAAGUCAGUUGUGAAAUUCCCCGGCUUAACCGGCGGAACUGCGAUUGAUACUGUCGUGCUUGAAUCAGGUUGAGGUAGGCGGAAUGUGGCAUGUAGCGGUGAAAUGCUUAGAUAUGCCAUAGAACACCGAUUGCGAAGGCAGCUUGCUGGACCUUGAUUGACGCUGAGGCACGAAAGCGUGGGGAGCAAACAGGAUUAGAUACCCCGGUAGUC
rnacentral:rRNA from 1 species